CAAGUCAGGGCAAAGCGCUGAACCUAAAUCCGACCGCGGAGGAGAAUCAGGACCGCGCGGAAGGUCGCGGGGGCUCCUCGUGCUUUUCCACUGCUGAGGCCCAGGCAGCACUCGCCGUAUUAGGGCCGCAGCCGGUCCAGGCCAAGCACACAGAUGAGUGCGCCUUUCCUCCGUGAGCUGAGCGUCGGACUUCCGACCUCCAGAGCGGAACCUGAUUAACUGCACGCGUUCAUUUAUUCAACCAUUAUUGCCAUGUGGCUGCUUGGAGUCUGCCAUUCUCAUGUGAAGGAGACACGGUCCCUGCCCUCCUGGAGUUUAUAUUCCAGCAGAAGAAAGGUGCAAAUGAAGCAGUGCACAUCUCCUCUCAGGAAGGGAUGGAUGCUUCGAGGAAAAUCAAGCCAGCAGGGAGGGGAGCUGUUUAUAGAAGGGGAAGGGCCUCAAAGGGCAUUGUGGGCAGAGGGGGGGACCCAGCCUCCCUGCAGAGAUCACAUGCAGCUGGGUAAAGUCAUGGGAGCCAGACAGAGUGUCCUGUUUCUCACACAGGAAAACUCACUCCUCCAUAUUUUUAUAUAAAUUAUCAAGAUAUUUCCAGCAAAAGCAGAUUUUGGGAGGGCUUGAGCUGUCGGGAUGGUUGCCUCGGGUUUCCACGUUGUUUUGCAUGUGGAGACAAAGUCUGAUUCCAAGCCUUCUUUACGAGCACUUCUUAAAACUUAUCUUCUAUUUGCAGAAAGCAACCGCUCCCUAUGGCUAAUAUUGCAGAGGUUGCUUAGAGCAAAGUUUUCACUCAGGGCUAAAAUUGGCUGAGAUGUUUGGUGGCGCUCAGUGUAGCCUCCCAGUGGGGCAGGAAUGAGAAAAAAUGUCAUGAUC
rnacentral:lncRNA from 10 species